CUGCUGCCUCCCGUAGGAGUCUGGUCCGUGUCUCAGUACCAGUGUGGGGGACCUUCCUCUCAGGACCCCUACGCAUCGUCGGUUAGGUGGGCCGUUACCCCGCCUACUGCCUAAUGCGCCGCAUGCCCAUCCCUGUCCGGCCGAAGCCUUUCCUGCCUCCGGGAUGCCCCGGUGGCAUGUACGCGGGUUUAGCCCGCCUUUCGGCGGGUUGUCCCCUGACAGGGGCAGGUUGCAUACGUGUUACUCACCCGUGCGCCGGUCGCAGGCGGAG
rnacentral:rRNA from 1 species